UAAAGCCGUGCGCAGGCGGUUUUGUAAGACAGAGGUGAAAUCCCCGGGCUCAACCUGGGAACUGCCAUUGCGACUGCAUGGCUGGAGUGCGGAAGAGGGGGAUGGAAUUCCGCGUGUAGCAGUGAAAUGCGUAGAUAUGCGGAGGAACACCGAUGGCGAAGGCAAUCCCCUGGGCCUGCACUGACGCUCAUGCACGAAAGCGUGGGGAGCAAACAGGAUUACAUACCCUGGUAGUCCACGCCCUAAACGAUGUCAACUGGUUGUUGGGAAUUUAUUUUCUCCGUAACAAAUCUAACGCGUGUAAUUUACCGCCUGGGGAGUACCGCCCCAAAGUUAAAAAUCUAAAGAAUUGGCGGGG
rnacentral:rRNA from 1 species